CCUACGGGAGGCAGCAGUGAGGAAUAUUGGUCAAUGGCCGGAAGGCUGAACCAGCCAAGCCGCGUGAAGGACGAAGGUGCCAAGCAUUGUAAACUUCUUUUGUCAAGGGACAAAAUCAGGCUCGAGAGCCUGACCGAGGGUACUUGAAGAAAAAGCAUCGGCUAACUCCGUGCCAGCAGCCGCGGUAAUACGGAGGAUGCGAGCGUUAUCCGGAUUUAUUGGGUUUAAAGGGUGCGUAGGCGGACUGUUAAGUCAGCGGUAAAAGUCCGGGGCUCAACCCCGGCGAGCCGUUGAAACUGGCUGUCUUGAGAUGUCGAGAGGUAUGCGGAAUGCGUGGUGUAGCGGUGAAAUGCUUAGAUAUCGCGCAGAACUACGAUUGCGAAGGCAGCAUACUGGCGUCGAUCUGACGCUGAGGCACGAAAGCGUGGGUAUCGAACAGGAUUAGAUACCCGAGUAGUC
rnacentral:rRNA from 1 species